CGCACCUUGCGCCUUUUGGUAUUCCGAAAGGCAUGCCUGUUUGAGUGUCAUGUGGAAUCGACCCGCCGGGUUUCCGGUGUGGAUCGGACUUGGGUGUUGCCAUCCCCGGCUCACCUCAAAUGCGUUAGCGGGUUCAAGACGUCAUAAGUCUCGUCCCGGGCCCGCUCACAGAACCCACUUUUUUGACUCUGACCUCAAAUCAGGUAGGACUACCCGCUGAACUUAA
rnacentral:misc_RNA from 1 species